GCUGGGUUCGGUGGCGUGUGCCUGUAGUCCCAGUUACUCAGGAGGCUGAGGCUGGAGGAUCGCUUGAGCCCAGGAGUUCUGGGCUGUACUGCGCUAUGCCGAUCAGGUGUCCGCAGUAAGUUCGGCAUCAAUAUAGUGACCUCCCAGGAGCAGGCGACCACCAGGUUGCCUAAGGAGGGAUGAACCGCCAAGGUCGGAAAUGGAGCAGGUCAAAGCUUGCGUGCUGAUCAGUAGUGGGAUUGCGCCUGUGAAUAGCCACUGCACUCCAGCCUGGGCACCAUAGCGAGACCCCGUCUCU
rnacentral:SRP_RNA from 1 species